AGGAAGCUGAAGGGGGGUAGCUCUCGAGACAGUGAGCCCAAGAACCCGGGCAUGAAGCGUGCCAGCUCUCUGAGCGUACUUAACACGGCUGACAAGGCUGCUGGAGACCCCUUUCAAGAACGAAAUAAUAGUCUGAAGAAAGGUCGCGACCUGAGUGCCAGUCAAACCGACCUGGCGCACUGACGGGCCUGCAGGAUGCCCCAAGGACUGGCAAACAGGAGGGGGAGUUGGAUGAUGGGAAGACUGGAGGUUAUCGUGCAGCAGAACCCAGAACCAGUCCUGGAGCCUCUCCUACUGAGCUGACCCACUUCACCGACCAUCAGGACUUCCUCUCUUCCCCACCAGACCCGCUAGAAAAACUCUGCACUCAAACUGACCGGUGCAAUUGUCCUUCAGUGCAAUCCUUUUUUUGAUCCAAAUUGCUUUUAUCAAGAAUUGUGUUGCUGGUUUCAAGGAAGCAGCAGCGGUAUUGCUCGUGGCCCAGCGUCGUGGCUCGUCUCGACUGCACGUGGGUUUUUCAAGAGCCAGGUGUCUACGUGUCUGCCUGGCUCAGGAGCUGCUCUUGGCCGGCCUGUGCUGUUCUGCGGAGCCGUGAGGGGGAUUGCUCUGGUUGGUGUCUCUUUGCACACACGCCUGCCUGUUUGUGAUCCCACAUAGAGGCGUCCUCCUGCGACGGGCACUGACAUUUCAGGACAGAGCGAAUGUCCCCUGCUGCUCUCCCCAGCCCUCCGAACUCUUUGAGCCUUUGUUGCCUCCUGUCCCCAGUGUUUUCAGACUGUACCUAGUUAGACGGUAUGUGAUUUAAUUUCUGGAGAGCUGUUUUUGUUUUAUGCCAUAGGGAAUAGUUAAAGUUUGUGUUGGGUGUUACAACAGAUCAGACGAACACUUUUAGUUUAUAACCUUUUUGGAGCUUGUGCAGCCUUAGAGGGAGGUCCCAUGCUGUUCCCAGCUGGAACCCUGCCCGCUGUACAGAACAGGGAUGUUGCACCGGGUGUUUUGCUUGUGUGCGAUUUAGCAUGAGGGCUCUGUGUCCGAGGCAGAGGAGGAAUUGUGCAGCAUCAAAACACCUCAAGGUAUCUCAACCCUGCGUGUGCUUCUCAGGAUUUUCAAAUACUAAGGCUACAAAAAAAAUACAAAUACAAUACAAAAAGAAUAUUAAAAAUAUGUUUUUUUAUUUAUUGUUAACACACAUUAAUCUUUGUUUGGAAGAGGAAUGUAGGAUGCUGGUUUUCCAGGCUUGCAUUCACCGGGAUUUGAAUAUAUCCUUAGGAAUGAUGUGUGCAGCCAAUACAUACGGAUGAAUGGGUUCUUGUUAAAGACAAACUUAGCAACUAUUACAUUUAGAUGCUAUAACCUUCAGAAGUACACUUAUUACACUUACUUUAUAUUAGAUUGCACAUGCCUUAAUACCAGAUACUACAAUACUAGAAUAUACUAAGUCAUUAACUUAAAACCUAGGUUAUUGAUGUUGAACACACCAUAUGUAGACGUAUGAAUUAGUUACAUCAAUAUGUUGAUGUGCUCAUAGAGAAACACCUCGAACACUAAAGGUUCUGGAUGUCAUUUCUGUCGUCUUCAGGGUUUGUCUCCAUGGCUUCAAUAUUCCUUCAAUGUGAUUAUUCAACAUUCUUAGGCUGUUCACAAGGAUAUCUUCCAUGUGGAGUGUUCCUAUAACUUGGAGAAAGAAUGUUUUUUUCCCCCUGAAAACAGUUUUUGUUAUAAUAAGUACCUUUUUCUCGAAAGGCAUUAUGAUGAAGACCGCAUGUAGUCUUUCAGCGCCUAACGAUUUUCUUUCAACAGUUUAAAAAAAAACCAUACCAUCUGCUGAUGGUAGAAUCGUUUUCCGCAAAGCGUAGCACAACAGAGUACAACCAGUACUGUGUGUCACUGUUUCUCUUUCAGUGCCUCUGUGGAUUCAGGCGACUGGCCCUCUCCUCUAGGUACUGAAGAACACUCAGUUACUCAGGCUGAGCUCAGGCCUUGACGAUCUGUUGCCCUUGCCUAAAAGGCAUAUUUUUGCCUCUUUUACCAUUUGCAAGCUGCCUCUAUCCUUUAUGGCCCUGUUAGAGUGAUAAAUCCGGAGUCAUGACAACAGGGCGUUGAUUGUAUUUACAUUUUUUGCUGCUCUAGGCACGUUCUGUGCAAAUGACUUCAAUCUUUACUGCCUUCUGCUGGACAGUUUCUGGGUGUGCGUUCUUUCUAUGUUUUUGUGCAAAUGACCGUGAUGCCUCAAGGCCACAAUGCAAAAUAGUAAAAUGUAGGAUCCUAUAUGAUGUAAUGAUUGUUGUAUCUCCACCAGCUCACUGAACCAAGCCUGGUUCAUAUCUUAAAUAGAGUGGCCUUCUAUGCACCGUCUUUAUACUUAACAAUACUGCCUAACACCAGAGUAACUUACAUUAAAAAAAAAAACGAGCUCAGAGUGCCACACACUGUGCAGGGAAAUCCCAGAGAUUGUUGGGACUAUGGAGGUGGAAAAGGGAGCCUGGAAGUCGGCUUUUGAUAAAUAUGGUCUUUGAGCAGUUCUGCUUGCACUGCGGGUUUUCAAGCCCGGGCUGGUUGCGGGUCUUUAUGACCAUCGAGACAAAGACACAGGUGUAACCCGCUGUGGGAAGAUGUGACUAGUGAGAGGACUGCUGGCACAGCUGGAACUAGAGACUCGGGGUCUUCGGAGGGAGCGAUCUUUUUAUUCAUUGAACAGUGGCAGCGCAGAGCAGGGUGAAUGCCAGAUAGAUGGAGGACACACAAUCAAAAACAGAGAACAGUCCCUCUGCCUUGGACUCCUCCUUCCUUUAUUCUUCCCACAUUGUGCCUGAAGAGAUUCGACUUUCUAGACACUUGAUUUAAAAAAAAAAAAAACUCUCCAUAUGAACUUUGGCAGCAGAUGCACUUUUACCUUCAGAAAGAAGCCUGCACACAGACUAGGGACAUUGAGAAAUAUUGUAGGGCUAAUGAAACCUCAGGUUGCUGCCUGGCGAAAAAUAACAGUAAUGUAUUUGUAUCGACUUAAACCUAAUGGGCUAGCAGCGUAUUCCAAACAUUCUGGAAUCUGUCCCAUUCAGACAUUCCCGGUCCUUUUACUGUCAGGUGACAGCAACACAGUACUAGAAACCACAGAGGUUUAUUGAAAUGUGAUACCUUCUCAUUGUAUCCAGUUCUGCAACCGACAGCUUCUGCAAGACAGGCAGUCCUGGUGCACAUUAGUGUCCAGUAAUAUCUGUCAAAAAACAAAAGCCCCACACGCUAUAGUGACUGACAGAAGAUUUACCUUCUGUAACUGAAGGUCGGCUUUGAAUUAAAAGUGAAGAAAAGAAGAAUUUAGUUGCAAACUAUUAAGUACUAAAUAUUCUGUUCAGGAUAUGAGUUUUCCCGGUAUAGGGAGGCCUUGGGAUUAACACAUUGGCAGAAUGACCUUUGAUCUUUCAAGCGUGACAGUACCUGAAGUAGUGACUAUUUCAAAAUAACCUGUAUUCAGUGAAAAAUAAAAAGAGAAAGCUUUGUCCCCCCACUCCCCACCCCCAUCUCUCUUAGUGGAUGCUGUUCUGUAUUGCUGAGCUUUGAUUCAUAGUGUGCAUUUGCUGUAUUCCUUUCCCAUUUGCCCUUGUAUGUGCUGCUGUGAGAACAAAGCAGGGGUCAAGAGGAAGAGACCACCUGCAAUCAGCCGUGUGCACACUGCAGUCUCCCUAUGGGCUGGUCAGCUUUGUCUGCUGGCUGCAUCGUUUUACUGUGGUGACUUUUGUGUUGCAGAUGUAUGUCAUAUUGAGAAAAGACUAAAUACAUUACUUUAAAUGCUG